UACGAAGGGUGCUAGCGUUGUUCGGAAUUACUGGGCGUAAAGAGCGCGUAGGCGGUUAUACAAGUCAGAGGUGAAAUCCCGGAGCUUAACUCCGGAACUGCCUUUGAAACUGUAUAGCUGGAGUGUGUGAGGGGAUAGCGGAAUUCCUAAUGUAGAGGUGAAAGUUCGUAGAUAUUAGGAGGAACACCGGUGGCGAAGGCGGCUAUCUGGCGCACAACUGACGCGUGAGG
rnacentral:rRNA from 1 species